rnacentral:rRNA from 1 species
GACGAACGCUGGCGGCGUGCCUAAUACAUGCAAGUCGAACGCUGAAGAGAGGAGCUUGCUCUUCUUGGAUGAGUUGCGAACGGGUGAGUAACGCGUAGGUAACCUGCCUGGUAGCGGGGGAUAACUAUUGGAAACGAUAGCUAAUACCGCAUAAAAUGGAUUAUCGCAUGAUAAUCCAUUGAAAGGUGCAAAUGCAUCACUACCAGAUGGACCUGCGUUGUAUUAGCUAGUUGGUGGGGUAACGGCUCACCAAGGCGACGAUACAUAGCCGACCUGAGAGGGUGAUCGGCCACACUGGGACUGAGACACGGCCCAGACUCCUACGGGAGGCAGCAGUAGGGAAUCUUCGGCAAUGGACGGAAGUCUGACCGAGCAACGCCGCGUGAGUGAAGAAGGUUUUCGGAUCGUAAAGCUCUGUUGUAAGAGAAGAACGAGUGUGAGAGUGGAAAGUUCACACUGUGACGGUAUCUUACCAGAAAGGGACGGCUAACUACGU